rnacentral:rRNA from 1 species
AUUGAACGCUCGCGGGCUGCCUUACACAUGCAAGUCGAACGAGUGGCGUACGGGUGAGUAAUGUAUCGGAACGUGCCCAGUAGCGGGGGAUAACUACGCGAAACGUAGCUAAUACCGCAUACUCUUGGAGCGGCCGAUAUUGGAUUAGCUAGUUGGUGGGGUAACGGCUCACAAAGGCGACGAUCCGUAGCUGGUUUGAGAGGAGGACCAGCCACACUGGGACUGGGACACGGCUCCGACGCCUACGGGAGGCAGCAGUGGGGAAUUUUGGACAAUGGGGGAAACCCUGAUCCAGCCAUCCCGCGUGUGCGAUGAAGGCCUUCGGGUUGUAAAGCACUUUUGGAAGGAAAGCGGUACCUGCAGACUAAGCACCGGCUAACUACGUGCCAGCAGCCGCGGUAAUAC